UACAGAGGGGGCCAGCGUUAUUCGGAAUUAUUGGGCGUAAAGGGCGCGUAGGCGGCCAUGCGUGUCUUCCGUGAAAUCCCUCGGCUUAACUGAGGACGUGCGGAAGAAACUGCAAGGCUCGGAGUCCGGGGAGAGGGGGGUGGAAUUCCCAGUGUAGCGGUGAAAUGCGUAGAUAUUGGGACGGAACACCGGUGGCCGAAGGCGGCCCCCUGGACCGGUACUGACGCAUGAGGCGCGAAAGCGUGGGUAGCAAACGGGAUUAGA
rnacentral:rRNA from 1 species